rnacentral:rRNA from 1 species
CCUACGGGCGGCAGCAGUGGGGAAUAUUGCACAAUGGGGGAAACCCUGAUGCAGCCACGCCGCGUGAGUGAAGAAGUAUUUCGGUAUGUAAAGCUCUAUCAGCAAGGAAGAAAAUGACGGUACCUGAGUACGAAGCCCCGUCUAACUACGUGCCAGCAGCCGCGGUAAUACGUAGGGGGCAAGCGUUAUCCGGAUUUACUGGGUGUAAAGGGAGCGUAGUCGGCGAUACAAGUCUGAAGGGAACGGCCCGGGCCCAAACCCGGGACUGCCGUGGAAACUGGGUGGCUGGAGUGGUGGAGAGGUAAGCGGAAUGCGCAGUGUAGCGGUGAAAUGCGUAGAUAUUAGGAAGAACCCCAGUGGCGAAGGCGGCUUGCUGGA